AUGACCCAAACUCCAAUCUCCUUGUCUGUCAGCCUUGGGGAUGAAGCCUCCAUCUCUUGCAGGUCUAGUCAGAGCCUUGUAGAUAGUUAUGGAUACACCUAUUUAUAUUGGUGCCUGCAGAAGCCAGGCCAGCCUCCAAAGGCCCUGAUCUAUGAGGUUUCCAAUAGAUAUUCUGGGGUGCCAGACAGGUUCAGUGGCAGUGGGUCAGGUACAGAUUUCACACUCAAGAUCAGCAGAGUAGAGCCUGAGGAUUUGGGAGUAUAUUACUGCUUCCAAGGUUCACAUGUUCCUCUCACAGUGAUUCAGACCCUAACAAAAACAUCUUUGCUUGUGGUGGUCCAGCUGCCAAAUGUGUUCUUCAUUUGUGUGAAACUUAGGAACUCCAGAUUACUGGUUGCAGCUGAGGACUUUUGA